CGAGGCGUGUGGGUGGUUCUGCAUGGGGUGCAGGUAGUCGGAGGUUCAAAUCCUCUCGCCCCGACCA
rnacentral:tRNA from 1 species